rnacentral:rRNA from 1 species
GUCACCUACGGGGGGCAGCAGUGGGGAAUAUUGCGCAAUGGGGGCAACCCUGACGCAGCAACGCCGCGUGCAGGAAGAAGGUCUUCGGAUUGUAAACUGUUGUCGCAGGGGAAGAAGACAGUGACGGUACCCUGUGAGAAAGUCACGGCUAACUCCGUGCCAGCAGCCGCGGUAAUACGGGGGGUGCAAGCGUUGUCCGGAAUCAUUGGGCGUAAAGCGUUCGUAGGCGGCAAGGUAAGUCUGAUGUUAAAGCCCGGGGCUCAACUCCGGUUCGGCAUUGGAUACUAUCUAGCUAGAAUGUGGUA